GAUGAACGCUGGCGGCGUGCCUAAUACAUGCAAGUCGAGCGAACAGAUAAGGAGCUUGCUCCUUUGACGUUAGCGGCGGACGGGUGAGUAACACGUGGGUAACCUACCUAUAAGACUGGUAUAACUCCGGGAAACCGGGGCUAAUGCCGGAUAACAUUUAGAACCGCAUGGUUCUAAAGUGAAAGAUGGUUUUGCUAUCACUUAUAGAUGGACCCGCGCCGUAUUAGCUAGUUGGUAAGGUAACGGCUUACCAAGGCAACGAUACGUAGCCGACCUGAGAGGGUGAUCGGCCACACUGGAACUGAGACACGGUCCAGACUCCUACGGGAGGCAGCAGUAGGGAAUCUUCCGCAAUGGGCGAAAGCCUGACGGAGCAACGCCGCGUGAGUGAUGAAGGUCUUCGGAUCGUAAAACUCUGUUAUUAGGGAAGAACAAAUGUGUAAGUAACUGUGCACGUCUUGACGGUACCUAAUCAGAAAGCCACGGCUAACUACGUG
rnacentral:rRNA from 1 species